rnacentral:tRNA from 1 species
GCUUCCGUAGCGCAGCUGGUAGCGCAACUGAUUCGUAAUCAGUAGGUCAGGGGUUCGAUUCCCCUCGGGAGCU